UUUGGCAAAGGCUGUGUUCAAUUUUUUGUAAAUUAUGUGACUGUUUAACUAAUUUCUUCAACUCUAAGACAUCUGUCGCAUAAAUUUUUAGCAGGGUUCUGUCUUCAAUAGCACAUUUUCCUUGCAGUUCCAAUAAAAUCACAAUAAAACAUUUUGCAGUUAAGUUACAUGACUACAAUAACAUUGAACCAUCCACCAUAGUUCCUUCUCAGUCUUUAAUGGCACUUCUGUGAACACAAUCCUUUAUCCAGUGAUCCUCAAGCACUUCCUGACACUUACACUUCACAAUACUCUGCUACUCACACAUUUCCUCAACAACAAUGGAUUUUAGAAACAGUCUUAACAGAUCAGUACCCUUGUGUAUCUGAAUUUGAUGCUAAAUCAAAAUACCAAAUGCAGUCAGUUCAAGUUUAGCAUUUUUCAAAAACCCAGGCAAAAAUUCAGGAAAAACUUCUUAUUCAGACAUAUCUUAUGGAAAAUGGAUAGAUGAUGGAUCAUCCACCAGCCUUUAAAACCUCCACUACUUCAAGCCAGCCCUCUAGCCAGCAAGUUAAAAUAGGCUUUGCCAUAGUGAAUGCUUCACAAUCAGGCUUUUAGACUGUAAGCUCAUAACAGGACAUGAAGUUCAACAACAAGCAAUGUUUUCAGAAUAGGGCACUUGCACUGAGGGCUUGGAUCUUGCACUGUGGAAGAGAUGCAGGCUUACAAGUCAAUGUAAGUGGGGGAAGCUGCUGUUUAUGCAGAUGCCAUUUCUGGCAGUGCCAAGUAAUGGCAAAACUCCUGAAGAGUACAGUCUCUUCUUACGCACAGCUGACCAUACCAGUAUAAUACAUUUUAACUCUUUAUCCUGGAUAUUUUUACCCAUGGGACAGCUGAGUAAGGCUCACUGCCUCUGUUAUAGCAAAAACAUAAACAACCAACCCCAAAUAUGGAAAGCAACUUUCAGUCCAAAUUGUGGACCAAUUUAGUAUUUUAUCAUCUAUUUUGUAUGGAAGAAACAAUCUCCAUUUCUUAAUGGGAUAGGCUGGAAAAUGUAUGUGAGUUUAAGCACUGGGAGAGAUGAUGAUCAAGAGAAUUGCUGGAUGCUGUUUGACAUUUAAACUGCUCAUUUCGCUGUUUCAGUCACUGUUCAUCAGUGGGAGGUAAGAAAGAAAACGGUGGUGUUUCUCCCUCUUGGAAGAAAAUACUGUGUAAUGAAAUUGCCAGCAUCAGUGCAUUCCCAUUCACUUUUCCAUUCUUUAUGGAUGUCAGUUGUUCAGAUGAGACAGCCAAAGACCACCUCAUUCUGAUUCAUUUUCAUAGGAGGAAGAAGACAGAAGGGAGCUUACUUGAUUGAACUUUGAUAGCUGUAAAGCUCUACGAAGAGUCUGUUAUCUAACCCCAGAUAAUCUCUGCUGAAGACUAAGAAACAUGGAAGAACCAGAGAGGCUCAGAAAGAAGAACAAAGGCUCAGAAAAGUUGACAUAGAAGAAACGAGCCUUUGAAGAGUGGCAAAUAAUGAAGAGCUGUCAAUGCUUUUGCUCCAAACUAAUGUACGUUGCUACUUGCUGCUAUUAAAUAGCUGCCAUACCUCAGCCUGGUGUUCACUGGUUUUCAGGAUAAGGAUAUAAAGUUUCUUGUAUUAGGUUUUAUUCUUUCAGAGAAAAAGCACUAGCCCUUCAAUGUUAUAUUUUAGCCUACUUCAAGAAAGCAUCUUGAAAAAUUCUAAAAAGGUUUUCUUUUGGAAGAAAGUACCACUGUCUUCAUCAACAAGCACAAGCAGGUUCAUGCAUUACAAAAUCAGAUGAUUCAAAAUAGUGAACAUUUUCAUCAGCAAAAUGAAAGGCUGGUUUUUUUACUUAUGUUGAUUUACACUGAAUUAAGUUGGGAAGUUUGGAUCUCCCUCACCAAGCACAAAAAAUCUUAUUUUUAUCUCUAGUCAACAGUGACAGGACAAAAUAGGAAAGAUCUGUUUUCUGUUGACUAAAGAGGAUUGGAAUUUUAUCUUCAGUGUUCAAGAUCUCCUGCCAUGCACUGCUGCUAUUGAAUUCUAACUUGGAAGAAAAAUCCCAGGGAAACAAAAAGCUUAUAAAGAACAACGAAGUGUGAUGGACAGUUAGGAUUACCCCAGCAGGUAACUACAAACAGAUUUUAAAUACCUGCAAAUAAAUUGCUAUAUAGUCUGAUGUGUCCUAAUCCCAGGUACUAUUAGCUGAAAACUAAGCCAGGGCAGAGAUACACCUUAUGCUAAAACAAAAUAUGUAAAACGCCUACUCAUGUGUUCUAACUUUCUCACAGUGUAAAUUAUGAAACCCCUUGUUUUAUGAAGCACAUUGCAGUCAACCUAAUGAAUUUUCAGGUGGAAGCAGCAACAUGAUGUAGUCUCAUAAAGCACACUAUGAAACUAAAAAUGUGCUGAUGCAAAACAGUGACCUCGCUGCAAGUCACACAGAGAAAAGUUACUGCUAUUAAACUGAAUUUGAAAACUUCCCUUUUAUCCUGUAAUUCAUGGGUAUGCCUUCUCUGGCAAAAAUACUAAAUCAAAUAUCCUACAGUGAUUAUUGAUGUGGACAAAAAUCACAAGAUGCAGAACUGGCUCAACGGUGUCUAUGGACAAGCCACAGGAGUCUAUUCAAUUGCAUUAGAAAGUCAAUACCAGCUGUCAACAUCUCUCUGUAUUUAGUUUUACGUAUGUCGGGGUUUUUUUCUCUAUUGACUUGGGCACUUAAAGGAUAUUUCUAAUCCUUUUACCAUGCACUUGUGCCUUAACAGUAGCCUCAGCAAAUUAGGUUACCUAUUAUUUUUUGUAUCUUAAAAAAAGAGAAAUCUUCACAUAUCUGGUAAAUAAAAGCAGCAGAGAAAAGGAAGUAGAAGCAGCCUCAGAAGAAGUGAGUUACUUAAAUAAAAAAGAACCCAAAACAAACACCCCCC
rnacentral:lncRNA from 1 species